ACGAACGCUGGCGGCGUGCCUAAUACAUGCAAGUUGAGCGCUGAAGGUUGGUACUUGUACCAACUGGAUGAGCAGCGAACGGGUGAGUAACGCGUGGGGAAUCUGCCUUUGAGCGGGGGACAACAUUUGGAAACGAAUGCUAAUACCGCAUAAAAACUUUAAACACAAGUUUUAAGUUUGAAGGAUGCAAUUGCAUCACUCAAAGAUGAUCCCGCGUUGUAUUAGCUAGUUGGUGAGGUAAAGGCUCACCAAGGCGAGGAUACAUAGCCGACCUGAGAGGGUGGUCGGCCGCAUUGGGACUGGGACACGGCCCAAAGUCCUACGGGAGGCAGCAGUAGGGAAUCGUCGGCAAUGGACGAGAGUCUUACCGAGCAACGCCGAGUGAGUGAACAAGGUUUUCGGAUCGUAAAACUCUGUUGGUAGAGAAGAACGUUGGUGAGAGUGGAAAGCGCAUCAAGUGACGGUAACUACACAGAAAGGGACGGCUAACUACGUG
rnacentral:rRNA from 1 species